rnacentral:misc_RNA from 1 species
GGGAAGUUGAAUUUCUUUUUGGGAAACUUUUAGAUAGAAUAAUGUGGUUGGUUACUACAAAUUAUUGGAUAGAUAGGUAAAAAUCUGUACAUAUUGGUUCAGAUAGGAAAAGUUGGUUGAAUAAGUUGAUCAUGUUCUGCGCCAAUGGUAAGGAGUGAACCAGCGUUAGUUCCAGAAUGGUUGAGAAACACUGGAAGUGUUACUGGCGGUGGCUCUUCAAAUCCCCACUUUGCAACCUCUUCUUUUCAUUCAGAUGUUACUUUAUCCACACUGUCUUCUCCCAAUAGAUCUCCUAGGAGUGUUGGUGACAAA